rnacentral:rRNA from 1 species
UACGUAGGGACCGAGCGUUGUCCGGAAUCAUUGGGCGUAAAGAGCGUGUAGGCGGCCACUUAAGUCCUGCGUGAAAUCCUGCGGCUCAACCGCAGGCGGUCGUGGGAAACUGGGUGGCUAGAGUGCGGGAGAGGAGAGUGGAAUUCCUGGUGUAGCGGUGAAAUGCGUAGAUAUCGAGAGGAACACCUGCGGCGAAGGCGGGUUGCUGGGCUGACACUGACGCUGAACUGCGAAAGCUAGGGGAGCGAACGGG